rnacentral:lncRNA from 1 species
UUUUUUUUUUGGCACCUAGGUGAUUUUAGACUUCUAAAAUAAGUCUUUGAUUAUUCAUUGAAACGAGUGUUCGAAUCGGUAGUUUGCUUCUCCACCCUUUUUAUUAACUUUCUAAAUAAAGUAUAAGUGCUAUAGUAUUGUAGUUGUCACUGCAAUAUUAAUAAUGGGUUUUGAAAGAAUUCUCUCGUGUCAACUCAAUGCUAGGUGCAUCUGAAAGAGUCCAAGACUUCACACUCUGUCAUGACUUUUUACCUGCCAUGCAUGGGCUUGUUAAGGCUAACUAACUUUUAAUCAUGUUUAAUUUAGACCACUUGGUUGCGAUUUUUUUUUUACUGUUUUUUGGCCUUUGAAAAGUCACUUGUAACGCCUCAAUAGCAACGUAAGCAUAUAGUUAGAGGCUUAAAAGGAAAAAAAAAAAAAAAA